rnacentral:rRNA from 1 species
CCUACGGGGGGCUACAGUGGGGAAUAUUGGACAAUGGGGGCAACCCUGAUCCAGCCAUGCCGCGUGUGUGAAGAAGGCCCUCGGGUUGUAAAGCACUUUCAGUGAGGAAGAACGCCUGGUGGUUAAUACCCAUCAGGAAAGACAUCACUCACAGAAGAAGCACCGGCUAACUCCGUGCCAGCAGCCGCGGUAAUACGGAGGGUGCGAGCGUUAAUCGGAAUUACUGGGCGUAAAGCGCGCGUAGGUGGCUUGAUAAGCCGGUUGUGAAAGCCCCGGGCUCAACCUGGGAACGGCAUCCGGAACUGUCAAGCUAGAGUGCAGGAGAGGAAGGUAGAAUUCCCGGUGUAGCGGUGAAAUGCGUAGAGAUCGGGAGGAAUACCAGUGGCGAAGGCGGCCUUCUGGACUGACACUGACACUGAGGUGCGAAAGCGUGGGUAGCAAACAGGAUUAGAUACCCCAGUAGUC